GGGAUCGAGCCUAAGCCAGCAGUGGACGGGCCUCCCAAUCAGGAGGCUUAGGCUCUGCGGAUGGGCUACAAGAUUUCCAGAAGGAAAUGCCCAGGUCUCCCAGGGGCAGUUCAAGGUCUGAGACUCAGGCAAGACAGGACUAAUUAUCCCCAUUCUACCGGUGACGACACUGAGGACCCAAAAGCGUGCAAUUUCGCCAGGUAAAUUUCACAGACAGCCGGGCCUGGUGCUGAGUACGCAUGGCUCCUUAGUUGGUGGCUUCCAGACAACAGUCCCCUGCCAUCUCCCCAGGGGAGGGCAGGAAUGGCCCUGAGAUCAUCUCCGCCUCCCCCGCCCCCCAGUGAUAACACUUAAAGGCCCCAGUCCUGGAGAGAUGAUGAUGUCUCCCCUUCUCCCCAACGCAACCCUAAAUAAAAUCAGCACUAGACGCUAAAAUAACCGUGAG
rnacentral:lncRNA from 1 species